rnacentral:rRNA from 1 species
GAUGAACGCUAGCGGCAGGCCUAACACAUGCAAGUCGAACGGUAAGGCCCUUUCGGGGGUACACGAGUGGCGCACGGGUGAGUAACGCGUAUGCAACCUACCUUUAACUAAGGAAUAGCCCGGAGAAAUUCGGAUUAAUACCUUAUAAUAUUCCAGAAUCACAUGUUUUUGGAAUUAAAGCUCAGGCGGUUAGAGAUGGGCAUGUGUGACAUUAGCUUGUUGGUGAGGUAACGGCUCACCAAGGCCACGAUGUUUAGGGGGUCUGAGAGGAUGGUCCCCCACACUGGUACUGAGACACGGACCAGACUCCUACGGGAGGCAGCAGUGAGGAAUAUUGGUCAAUGGGCGCAAGCCUGAACCAGCCAUGCCGCGUGAAGGAUGACAGCCCUAUGGGUUGUAAACUUCUUUUGUAAGGGAAGAAAUCCCUCUACGUAUAGGGGGUUGACGGUACCUUACGAAUAAGCAUCGGCUAACUCCGUGCCAGCAGCCGCGGUAAUACGGAGGAUGCAAGCGUUAUCCGGAUUUAUUGGGUUUAAAGGGUACGUAGGCGGAAAAUUAAGUCAGUAGUGAAAUCCUGCAGCUCAACUGUAGAACUGUUAUUGAUACUG